UGUGGAUUAAUUCGAUGCAACGCGAAAACCUUACUACCCUUGACAUGUCUGGAACCUUGGUGAGAGCCGAGGGUGCCUUCGGGAGCCAGAACGACAGGUGCUGCAUGGCUGUCGUCAGCUCGUGUCGUGAGAUGUUGGGUUAAGUCCCGCAACGAGCGCAACCCUUGUCACUAGUUGCCAUCAUUUGGUUGGGCACUCGUAGUGAGACUGCCGGUGACAAACCGGGAGGAAGGUGGGGAUGACGUCAAGUCCUCAUGGCCCUUAUGGGUAGGGCUUCACACGUCAUACAAUGGUCGGUACAGAGGGUUGCCAAGCCGCGAGGUGGAGCCAAUCCCUUAAAGCCGAUCGUAGUCCGGAUCGUAGUCUGCAACUCGACUACGUGAAGUCGGAAUCGCUAGUAAUCGCAGGUCAGCAUACUGCGGUGAAUACGUUCCCGGGUCUU
rnacentral:rRNA from 1 species